rnacentral:rRNA from 1 species
CUUCCGUAGGGGAACCUGCGGAGGGAUCAUUACCGAGUUUACAACUCCCAAACCCCUGUGAACAUACCAAUUGUUGCCUCGGCGGAUCAGCCCGCUCCCGGUAAAACGGGACGGCCCGCCAGAGGACCCCUAAACUCUGUUUCUAUAUGUAACUUCUGAGUAAAACCAUAAAUAAAUCAAAACUUUCAACAACGGAUCUCUUGGUUCUGGCAUCGAUGAAGAACGCAGCAAAAUGCGAUAAGUAAUGUGAAUUGCAGAAUUCAGUGAAUCAUCGAAUCUUUGAACGCACAUUGCGCCCGCCAGUAUUCUGGCGGGCAUGCCUGUUCGAGCGUCAUUUCAACCCUCAAGCCCAGCUUGGUGUUGGGACUCGCGAGUCAAAUCGCGUUCCCCAAAUUGAUUGGCGGUCACGUCGAGCUUCCAUAGCGUAGUAGUAAAACCCUCGUUACUGGUAAUCGUCGCGGCCACGCCGUUAAACCCCAACUUCUGAAUGUUGACCUCGGAUCAGGUAGGAAUACCCGCUGAACUUAAGCAUAUCAAUAAGCGGAGG